UACGAAGGGGGCUAGCGUUGCUCGGAUUGACUGGGCGUAAAGGGCGCGUAGGCGGUUCGUCCAGUCCGACGUGAAAUUCCUGGGCUCAACCUGGGGGCUGCGUUUGAUACGUGCGGACUUGAGUGCGGAAGAGGGUCGUGGAAUUCCCAGUGUAGAGGUGAAAUUCGUAGAUAUUGGGAAGAACACCGGUGGCGAAGGCGGCGACCUGGUCCGAUACUGACGCUGAGGCGCGAAAGCGUGGGGAGCAAACAGG
rnacentral:rRNA from 1 species